GAGCCGUGACGGGGGCGCCCAUCCGGGCUGAGAUGCACCCUUUGAACCUGAACCAGAUCAUGCUGGCGGAGGAAGUCGCGUUGCCGUCAUG
rnacentral:ncRNA from 2 species